ensembl:lncRNA
UCCCAGACAGGAGGAGCAUGCCCCAGACCAAAUACUUUAGGGUGAUGACAAUAUACCGGCCAUUUUGUCACCUGGCACAGGACACUCUGAUAAGUACCAGGCUAAUCCACCUUCGGUGCUGAUAGAAACUUGAUUUGGAUUCCUGCCCUCCACUCUGGAGCCCAGGCUCCCAACUCAGCACGGCAGGUUCGUCUUUACAGAACCAUUUGGUUUUCGCUGUGAGACCUUCUUCAGAUGAGAACGUUUCGAGGGCUACAGGGUAACGGAGGUAAAGCAACUGUCUAGUGUUUGCUGCAUCACCAAGCCCAGGAGGAUGGGUUGCCUAGCAACACCUAGUCACUCCAGACGGGUGCUAGGCAACAAGAUACAAUCUGUCGGGCUGCAUUCAACUGGCAUUUUCUCCUGGUUUUUAGGAGUCAUGUUUUUAUUUGCAGAGGACUGGGGAGCUAUACAAGUCUGAGUAUCUAAGAUACACAGUUCCUCGGUGGCUCCAACUGUUACUUGUUGCCUCCCUGAAGGUGUAUGAGACGUGGGCUCUGCUCACCGAGAAGACUCUAAUCUAAUUAGGAAACAUGGACCAACCUGGAAAAUGUUGAAGAACAGAGGAGACCGUGCUCAUCUGAACAUCCCUGCAGCAGACUCCUGAGAACACAGCAGCUUUUUUCUCCCUCUGCCUGGUUUUCAGACGGCUGUGCAGAAACUGGAGACUCAGGUGAGGCCCGAGUGUGCUCUGACCUUCAGUGACAGUUGAACUCACCAGCCUGGAAUGCACGGUCUCAGUGUAAGUCACCUCCUCAUGCAGGCCCUGGCUGUGGUGCAAACGUCUACUCGUACAAAAACUGGGUGUCAAGUGACAUUAAAUAUUAACCCUCUGUGGCUUUCCAGUACCCACGUAGGAAAUGAGUGCUAAGCCAAAGGGCCUAAACAUCAGACAGGAGGCACGAGGAAGAGUUAGGAGGAUUCCGUCACGAGCAAAGCGAGUGCUCCCUUUUUAUUUUUUUCUUUUCUUUUUUUCAGAGCUGGGGACUGAACCCAGGGCCUUGCGCUUCCUAGGCAAGCGCUCUACCACUGAGCUAAAUCCCCAACCCCUAGAACAAUCUUUUAAAAGCUUAUUGUGCUGAUAAGAUUUGAAUGCUCUACUACCUGGGUACCCUCUCCACCUCUCAUACAUGUACACACAUGUGUGUCCUCUACAAACACACAUACACACAUUCACACACACACAAAACAUGACAUACAACAUAUACAUACACAUAUAUACACAGACCCAUACAAAACACACAUAAAUACACACACAUACACAUAUACAUAUAUACACAUACAUAUACACAUUCACAGACCCAUAUAUAUACACAUUCACAUAUAACACACACAUACACAAACAUAUUUUUUUUUAUUUUUUUUAUUUUUUUUUAUUAACUUGAGUAUUUCUUAUAUACAUUUCAAGUGUUAUUCCCUUUCCCGGUUUCCGGACAAACAUCACCCUCCCCCCUCCCCUUCCUUAUGGGUGUUCCCCUCCCAAACCUCCCCCCAUUGCCACCCUCCCCGCAUAGUCUAGUUCACUGGGGGUUCAGUCUUAGCAGGAC